rnacentral:lncRNA from 1 species
CUCAUAUUGUUUAAUGCCAACCUGGACAACUUUGGUGGAAGGGACCCAUGCAAAACAGCGGCUGGGUUUCCCAUUACAGAAUGUAUGGCAAUGAUUACAACUUAAUCUUGUUUCUCAAACCUUCUCCCUUUUCAUUCUUCCUUGUUCAGUAGGUCUUGGGAGAAGGUAUUGACUCCUACCCAGUUUACCCUGUUGGUUUCUAUUUCCUUCACUGUGCAGCUCUGCUUGUCGCAAGACAGGUGUUUACAUUCCACAGCCUGUACUGUUGGAGUUUCUCACGGGAAAGGGAGACUGGAUGUGACGUACACUGGUUUCCUGUUUUUCACUGUGUUUCUCUCCAAGCUGUCGAGGAGAGAGGAUGCAUUUUUCUGCUCCGGCACAGAGGCAAGAUGUCUUUCUGUAAUAUACCAGCUUUGAACUGUAAAUAAAGCAAUACAGAGUAUGCAGCACGUAUCCUCAUCCUUCCGCUGGCCACGACAGACUCUGCUUUAAAUCAACACGUG